rnacentral:lncRNA from 1 species
AAAAAUUGGGGUACAAGCUCACUAUCGGAAAUUACAAGGAGACGGAAUCUUCACCUCCAGAAAUCAGCAAAAACUACCCCAAAUGACCUUGAAAUUAGUCAAAAACCAGCCCCAAAUUCCCCAGGGGAAAUCAGUUUAAAAGACCUCAAAGCAGUCACCUCUGAAAAUCGGUCCAAAUCUUAGUCAAAAGGCGGUCAAAAAGCUGCAGAAGAUAGCCAUUAGAGCAAGCUCCAAAUUACUGUCUCCUCCAAUACGAUCUCCUCCAGUCAACAGCUCUUCUCGAUUGUCAGCGCCAUUACCGGCUCGCUCGCUCUCCGUAAGUUUUCUGGAGUAUUAUUUUACUUAUCAUUUUC